AGUGAACGCUGGCGGUAGGCCUAACACAUGCAAGUCGAACGGCAGCACAGUAAGAGCUUGCUCUUACGGGUGGCGAGUGGCGGACGGGUGAGGAAUACAUCGGAAUCUACUUUUUCGUGGGGGAUAACGUAGGGAAACUUACGCUAAUACCGCAUACGACCUACGGGUGAAAGCAGGGGAUCUUCGGAACUUGCGCGAUUGAAUGAGCCGAUGUCGGAUUAGCUAGUUGGCGGGGUAAAGGCCCACCAAGGCGACGAUCCGUAGCUGGUCUGAGAGGAUGAUCAGCCACACUGGAACUGAGACACGGUCCAGACUCCUACGGGAGGCAGCAGUGGGGAAUAUUGGACAAUGGGCGCAAGCCUGGUCCAGCCAUACCGCGUGGGUGAAGAAGGCCUUCGGGUUGUAAAGCCCUUUUGUUGGGAAAGAAAAGCAGCAGGUUAAUACCCCGCUGUUCUGACGGUACCCAAAGAAUAAGCACCGGCUAACUUCGUG
rnacentral:rRNA from 1 species